rnacentral:rRNA from 1 species
AGAUCCUACGGGGCGCAGCAGUGAGGAAUAUUGGUCAAUGGGCGGAAGCCUGAACCAGCCAAGUCGCGUGAGGGAAGAAGGCCCUGCGGGUCGCAGACCUCUUUGGACGGGGAGCAAGGCCGCCGACGUGUCGGCGGAAGGAGAGUACCCGUAGAACAAGCAUCGGCUAACUCCGUGCCAGCAGCCGCGGUAAUACGUAGGUGGCGAGCGUUAUCCGGAAUGAUUGGGCGUAAAGGGUGCGCAGGCGGCGCGUCA